AGCCUAUUGGUUCCACGCGUGCGCGCGCCCCGUGACCACGCCCUGUUGCUGGUGAAGAUCAUAUUGAGGCAUUGGAAAAAGGAGCUCCCUCCAGUAUGCAGAUGACUCAAUAUCCUGAGAAGGCACCUUUAUUUAUACUGGAAGAUCCUGCAGAUACCUGCCUAACAAAACUCUGCUAUCCUUAAUGCUGUGGACUAGAAGGUACUUGAUGCUGAGAUGCAGUGGGAAUGCCCAGUAAAGAAGGAGUCCAUUUCCAACCAAAGAAUGUCUUUAGAUCUAACCUGAAUCACAAAACAAGUAGACAAAGUCACUGUUCGGGACACUUCCUAGAACAGGUUGCUCAGACCCCUUCAAUCUGUAUGUUGUGAAAGUCAAAGGAAUAAAAAGACAAAAGUGAGAUGUUGGGAAGCUCCAAAUUAAAAGAUAUCAAAGAGACAUGAUAGGCCGGUGACUGGGGCCUGCAUCCAUUCAUUAAGGAAGGGAGAAAACAGGGUAAGAGGAAGAAGGAAGAAAGAAAUUGUCUAAUGAGGACAAUUAGAGGACAACGGGAAAUCAGAGCAUAGUCAUUUUAUUACACAGUAGUUUUGUAUUGGCUUGAAUUCCUUGACCAUUCAUUAUGAAGGGGAAUGCAUGUGUCUGUUCUUUGGAGACAUCCAAUUGAAAUAUUUUGGAUGGGAAAUGCCACGAAGUCAGAAACUUUCAAUUGAAAGGAAAAGUAACAGCUGCUUUCAAGGUCAAGUCUGGAAUGUUCCAAGGCACUGGACAUGAGACAUUCAAGAGCCUGGAGAAGAGACAAACGUUGUCUGUGCAAGGCCAGAGACAAGUAAAGGAGCCAUGGCUACAGUUUGUGGACCAGUAGUCUCUGGACCCCCAGUCUUCAGACUCUUAGGCCAGGGCUUGAGUCUCAGAUUUUGUUGUUUGGCACAGUGAGUGAGCUGGGCAUCGAUAUGGAGUCAGGUAGAAUAGAAAACAGGACUUACACUGAUACAUUACCUUGGUAAAGCUGUUGUGAGUGAAUACAAGGUUGGAUGAAUCAAGAACCCUUGGCAACAAUUGAUGCUCAAGAAGGAGGUGACUGUCCGAGAAGUAAUGAUGCCACAUCAAGUUGGCUCAAUAAAGAUGCGCUUUGUGCAUUUGCUUGCUUCAGAACAACAAGUAAUCAGGCUCCUUCCACCCCACUCAAAUGUUUGCAGAGGGGUGUUUGAUCAGUUCAAAUGUUAAUUUAGAAAUCACAUAUAUGGCCACUGUAACUGGAACACUUUCAGUGUUCUUUCUGGAAUGCUGUGGUAUGAGUUUGCUGAUAAAUGCCAGUGUUUGCAUCCAUUAUAAGGCUGGUGAGGACCAGUAGUUUCCUAGGCACAGUUUGAGAUAAACUAAAAAAUAAAAA
rnacentral:lncRNA from 1 species